rnacentral:rRNA from 1 species
UACAGAGGGUGCGAGCGUUGUCCGGAAUCACUGGGCGUAAAGGGCGCGUAGGUGGCGCGACAAGUCAGUGGUGAAGGCUCGACGCUUAACGUCGAGUCGGCCACUGAUACUGUUGGGCUUGAGCACUGUAGAGGCAGAUGGAAUUCCGGGUGUAGCGGUGGAAUGCGUAGAGAUCCGGAAGAACACCGGUGGCGAAGGCGGUCUGCUGGGCAGUAGCUGACACUGAGGCGCGACAGCGUGGGGAGCAAACAGG